GAUGAAGAACGCAGCGAAAUGCGAUAAGUAAUGUGAAUUGCAGAAUUCAGUGAAUCAUCGAAUCUUUGAACGCACCUUGCACCCUUUGGCAUUCCGAAGGGUAUGCUCGUUUGAGUGUCAUUGUACUCUCACACUCUCCGAUCCUAUGGAUUCGGGGAGCGGUGGACUUGGGUGUUGCUGCCUUUCCUUGUGGCUCACCUCAAAUGUGUCAGUGCACCUCUUGGUUGGACAUAGUACGGCGUGAUAAGUGUCUUCGCCGGCACCUCGCAAGAGGGUGGCCGUUCGGGAGCUCUGUGCUUUCAAACCGUCUUCGGACAAUUUCUGACAACUUGACCUCAAAUCGAGUAGGACUACCCGCUGAACUUAAGCAUAUCAAUAAGCGGAGGA
rnacentral:misc_RNA from 1 species